rnacentral:rRNA from 1 species
GUACCCACAAUUACUUGGAUAACUGUGGUAAUUCUAGAGCUAAUACAUGCWAACAGAGCUCCGACCGGAGACGGAAGGAGUGCUUUUAUUAGAUCAAAACCAAUCGGUGGCGAGUUCGCUCGUCAUCGUACAACUUGGUGACUCUGAAUAACUUUACGCUGAUCGCACGGUCUCGCACCGGCGACGCAUCUUUCAAAUGUCUGCCUUAUCAACUGUCGAUGGUAGGUUCUGCGCCUACCAUGGUUGUAACGGGUAACGGGGAAUCAGGGUUCGAUUCCGGAGAGGGAGCCUGAGAAACGGCUACCACAUCCAAGGAAGGCAGCAGGCGCGCAAAUUACCCACUCCCGGCACGGGGAGGUAGUGACGAAAAAUAACGAUACGGG